rnacentral:tRNA from 1 species
GGGGUUGUGGCUCAGUGACAGAGCACUCACCUCGAAUGUGGAAGGCACUGGGUUCGAUCCUCAGCACCA